UACUGUUUCCAUUGUUGAUCUUUACACUAUCUAGCUAGAUCCAGUUCGCAUUAAAAGUAAAUCUAUAAAACUGUCUUGAAGCUAAAAUGAUUCUUACUAUUUUUUCCUAACAAUGUCGAUUACAUCAACUCUAUUUUAUAGUAAACCGAGGUUUUGAUUUAACGGCUACGUAGUAGCACCUCAUUACAUUAGUCUGAUCCUAAUGGUGUGAUCUAUUGUGGAUAUGGAUCGCACUUUUCGUACAUUUUCCUUUACCUACUUUCCAAAUAUUUUUUUUUAGAGAUGCUCUGCUUUUGUCGUCUACACUUUGGGAAGAGUUCUACAUUUUUUUAAAAAGGACAGUUGUUGUCCAGAAAAAAAAGAAAGGAAAAAGACAUUUGAACAGCUGUUUGAACAGACUGUGAAUGUUGUGUGGGCUUUCGACUGGCCCAAGUUAUUGUACUCAGCUGAACUAUUUCGUAAGACGACAUCAUUUCGGUCUUUGGUUACUGAUGAACCUGAAUUUCUGUCGUUUAGCAAAGCCUUUGUAGCUGUUGAAGGAUUUGAUUUGAUACUUCCACUCAAACUUGGUGUAUGAGACAACGCAACUCAAAGAGCUGAAAGCAAAGGGCAGAGCCUUCAAGAAGAUGUCAGCCAUCUGAAGUUCUUGAAACCAGAGUAAAGGUAUUGGUUUCUUCAUAGUUAUCCAUCUCUUCAUGCAUUGCGUUUGUCCAUCCUUCAUGUUUAUGUGCUUUGGAUACAGUAACAAGUUCAUGAUGCGAGACUAUUAACUUGAAGAACAUACUGUUGAAAGUAAGCUUGAAGAAAGCUUAUGGAGUAAGCUAUUCUAAAGAUAUUUGGAAUGUGAAAGAAAUAGGAAAUAUGUUUGUUUAGGAGUUAUCUAAAUAAGUUAAACUAAUGAGAUUAGGAAGUUGAUAUUCCUAUAUAAGGAGAUGCCAAGGUGUGGCAUAACUUAUGGUUUAGAGAUUGAGAGACCAUCUUGUGAGAGCUUAAGUUUUUGAGAGAGUUUUCUUAA
rnacentral:lncRNA from 1 species